CAAGAAUUCUACGUACCGACAACAUUCCGGCUUUCUUUUCUACAUGUCUUUGUCUUCGUCCUGUGUAUAAGGCAGGAUGUUGCUCAUCAUGCAAAGAACCAGCAAACGUUCCGUUCAAAUGAAAAAAGAAUCAUCCUCUUUGUCAUCCUGGGGCAGGAUGCCCAUCCUGCAAGCAUCAACGAAGAUUUUAA